UACGUAGGGUGCAAGCGUUGUCCGGAAUUAUUGGGCGUAAAGAGCUCGUAGGCGGUCUGUCGCGUCGGCUGUGAAAACCUGGGGCUCAACCCCGGGCUUGCAGCCGAUACGGGCAGACUAGAAUUCGGUAGGGGAGACUGGAAUUCCUGGUGUAGCGGUGAAAUGCGCAGAUAUCAGGAGGAACACCGGUGGCGAAGGCGGGUCUCUGGGCAAUAACUGACGCUGAGGAGCGAAAGCGUGGGGAGCGAACAGG
rnacentral:rRNA from 1 species